CUACGGGGCGCUGCAGUGAGGAAUAUUGCACAAUGGGGGGAACCCUGAUGCAGCAACGCCGCGUGGAGGAUGACGCAUUUCGGUGUGUAAACUCCUUUUAUAUGUCAAGAAAAUGACGGUAGCAUAUGAAUAAGCACCGGCUAACUCCGUGCCAGCAGCCGCAGUAAUACGGAGGGUGCAAGCGUUACUCGGGAUCACUGGGCGUAAAGGACGCGUAGGCGGGUUGGAAAGUCAGGUGUGAAAUCCUACAGCUUAACUGUAGAACUGCACUUGAAACUUCUAAUCUAGAGUAUGGGAGGGGGAGAUGGAAUUAGUGGUGUAGGGGUAAAAUCCGUAGAUAUCACUAGGAAUACCUAAAGCGAAGGCGAUCUCCUGGAACAUUACUGACGCUAAGGCGUGAAAGCGUGGGGAGCAAACAGGAUUAGAUACCCUAGUACUC
rnacentral:rRNA from 1 species